rnacentral:rRNA from 1 species
GAUGAACGCUGGCGGCGUGCCUAACACAUGCAAGUCGAGCGAUCUACCUCGGUAAAGAGCGGUGGACGGGUGAGUACCGAGUGGGUAACCUCCCCUGUACACCCGGCCUACAUACCGAAAGGUAUGCUAAUACGAGAUAAUAUGCUUUUAUUGACUGGUAGAAGUAUCAAAGCUGUUGCGGGACAGGAGGGAUGCGCGCCUGAUUAGCUGGUUGGUGAGGUAACGGCCCACCAAGGCGACGAUCAGUAGCCGACAUGAGAGGGUGAUCGGCCACAUUGGAACUGAGACACGGUCCAAACUCCUACGGGAGGCAGCAGUGGGGAAUAUUGCACAAUGGGGGAAGGCCUGAAGCAGCAACGCCGCGUGAGCGAUGAAAGCCUGCGGGACGUAAAGCGCUAUCCUCAAGGAAGAUAAUGACGGUACUUGAGGAGGAAGCCCCGGCUAACUACGUG